rnacentral:rRNA from 1 species
GACGAACGCUGGCGGCGUGCUUAACACAUGCAAGUCGAACGGAAAGGCCCUGCUUUUGUAGGGUGCUCGAGUGGCGAACGGGUGAGUAACACGUGAGUAACCUGCCCUUGACUUUGGGAUAACUUCAGGAAACUGGGGCUAAUACCGGAUAGGAGCUCCUGCUGCAUGGUGGGGGUUGGAAAGUUUCGGCGGUUGGGGAUGGACUCGCGGCUUAUCAGCUUGUUGGUGGGGUAGUGGCUUACCAAGGCUUUGACGGGUAGCCGGCCUGAGAGGGUGACCGGCCACAUUGGGACUGAGAUACGGCCCAGACUCCUACGGGAGGCAGCAGUGGGGAAUAUUGCACAAUGGGCGGAAGCCUGAUGCAGCAACGCCGCGUGCGGGAUGACGGCCUUCGGGUUGUAAACCGCUUUCGCCUGUGGCGAAGCGUGAGUGACGGUAAUGGGUAAAGAAGCACCGGCUAACUACGUG